CAAGUCGAACGAGAAAGUGGAGCAAUCCAUGAGUAAAGUGGCGCACGGGUGAGUAACACGUGACUAACCUACCCAGGAGUGGGGGAUAACUGAGGGAAACCUUAGCUAAUACCGCAUAACACCUACGGGUCAAAGGAGCAAUUCGCUUCUGGAGGGGGUCGCGGCCGAUUAGUUAGUUGGCAGGGUAAUGGCCUACCAAGACGAUGAUCGGUACCCGGCCUGAGAGGGCGCACGGACACACUGGAACUGAAACACGGUCCAGACUCCUACGGGAGGCAGCAGUGGGGAAUUUUGCGCAAUGGGGGAAACCCUGACGCAGCAACGCCGCGUGGAGGAUGAAGUCCUUCGGGACGUAAACUCCUUUCGAUCGGGACGAUUAUGACGGUACCGGAAGAAGAAGCCCCGGCUAACUUCGUGCCAGCAGCCGCGGUAAUACGAGGGGGGCAAGCGUUGUUCGGAAUUAUUGGGCGUAAAGGGUGCGUAGGCGGUUUGGUAAGUCUGAUGUGAAAUCUAUGGGCUCAACUCAUAGUCUGCAUCGGAAACUGCCGGGCUUGAGUGUGGGAGAGGUGAGUGGAAUUCCUGGUGUAGCGGUGAAAUGCGUAGAUAUCAGGAGGAACACCUGUGGCGAAAGCGGCUCACUGGACCAUAACUGACGCUGAUGCACGAAAGCUAGGGGAGCAAACAGGAUUAGAUACCCUGGUAGUCCUAGCCCUAAACGAUGACUGCUUGGUGUGACGGGUACCCAAUCCCGCCGUGCCGUAGCUAACGCGUUAAGCAGUCCGCCUGGGGAGUACGGUCGCAAGGCUGAAACUCAAAGGAAUUGACGGGGGCCCCC
rnacentral:rRNA from 1 species